rnacentral:tRNA from 3 species
GGCCAGGUAGCUCAGUCGGUAGAGCAGCGGACUGAAAAUCCGCGUGUCGGUGGUUCGAUUCCGCCCCUGGCCA